UUGAUCAUGGCUCAGGAUGAACGCUAGCGACAGGCUUAACACUUGCAAGUCGAGGGGCAGCGGGGAGUGAGGCUUGCCUUACUCUGCCGGCGACCGGCGCACGGGUGAGUAACACGUAUGCAACCUACCCUUUACAGCGGGAUAACCGGAAGAAAUUUCGCCUAAUACCGCAUAUACUCCUUGGGAGGCAUCUUCCGAGGGGGAAAGAAUUUCGGUGAAGGAUGGGCAUGCGUCGCAUUAGUUAGUUGGCGGUGUAACGGACCACCAAGACGACGAUGCGUAGGGGUUCUGAGAGGAAGGUCCCCCACACUGGUACUGAGACACGGACCAGACUCCUACGGGAGGCAGCAGUGAGGAAUAUUGGUCAAUGGCCGAGAGGCUGAACCAGCCAAGUCGCGUGAGGGAAGAAUGUCCUAUGGAUUGUAAACCUCUUUUGUCAGGGAGCAAAGUCACCCACGUGUGGGUGUUGGAGAGUACCUGAAGAAAAAGCAUCGGCUAACUCCGGUGCCAGCAGCCGCGGUUAAUUACGGAAGGAUGGCGAGCGUUNUCCCGGAUUUAUUGGGGUUUAAAAGGGUGNGUAGGCGGGUUAUCAAGUCAGCGGUAAAAUCGUGGAGCUCAACUCCAUCCAAGCCGUUGAAAACUGAUGAUCUUGAGUGGGCGAGAAGUAUGCGGAAUGCGUGGUGUAGCGGGUGAAAUGCAUAGAUAUCACGCAGAACUUCCGAUUGCGAANGGCAGCAUACCGGCGCCCGACUGACGCUGAAGCACGAAAGCGUGGGUAUCGAACAGGAUUAGAUACCCUGGUAGUCCACGCAGUAAACGAUGAAUACUAANUUGUGUGCUCCGAAUGAGGAGUGCGUGAUACAGCGAAAAGCGUUAAAGUAUUCCACCUGGGGGAGUACNNCCGGCAACGGNUGAAACUCAAAAGGGAAUUUGACGGGGGGCCCCGCACAAGCGGGAGGAACAUGUGGGUUUAAUUUCGAUGAUACNNCGAGGNAACCUUACCCGGGCUCAAACNCNAGGAGGGACGUUUUUGAAAGGAGGCAGCUCUACGGAGUCUCCUGCGAGGUGCUGCAUGGUUGUCGUCAGCUCGUGCCGUGAGGUGUCGGCUUAAGUGCCAUAACGAGCGCAACCCCUACCGCCAGUUGCCAACGGGUAAAGCCGGGAACUCUGGCGGGACUGCCGGCGCAAGCUGUGAGGAAGGCGGGGAUGACGUCAAAUCAGCACGGCCCUUACGUCCGGGGCGACACACGUGUUACAAUGGCAGGUACAGCGGGAAGCCACUUGGCGACAAGGCGCGGAACCCGAAAACCUGUCUCAGUUCGGAUUGGAGUCUGCAACCCGACUCCAUGAAGCUGGAUUCGCUAGUAAUCGCGCAUCAGCCACGGCGCGGUGAAUACGUUCCCGGGCCCUGUACACACCGCCCGUCAAGCCAUGGAAGCCGGGGGUGCCUGAAGUGCGUGACCGCAAGGAGCGCCCUAAGGUAAAACCGGUGACUGGGGCUAAGUCGUAAACAAGGUA
rnacentral:rRNA from 1 species